AACGAACGCUGGCGGCAGGCUUAACACAUGCAAGUCGAGCGCCCCGCAAGGGGAGCGGCAGACGGGUGAGUAACGCGUGGGAAUCUACCCAUCCCUACGGAAUAGCUCCGGGAAACUGCAAUUAAUACCGUAUACGCCCUACGGGGGAAAGAUUUAUCGGGGAUGGAUGAGCCCGCGUUGGAUUAGCUAGUUGGUGGGGUAAAGGCCUACCAAGGCGACGAUCCAUAGCUGGUCUGGGAGGAUGAUCAGCCACAUUGGGACUGAGACACGGCCCAAACUCCUACGGGAGGCAGCAGUGGGGAAUAUUGGACAAUGGGGGCAACCCUGAUCCAGCCAUGCCGCGUGAGUGAUGAAGGCCUUAGGGUUGUAAAGCUCUUUCACCGGGGAAGAUAAUGACGGUACCCGGAGAAGAAGCCCCGGCUAACUUCGUGCCAGCCGCCGCGGUAAUAC
rnacentral:rRNA from 1 species